ensembl:lncRNA SNHG14 small nucleolar RNA host gene 14
GGAUCGAUGAUGAGUCCUCCAAAAAAAACAUUCCUUGGAAAAGCUGAACAAAAUGAGUGAAAACUCAUACCGUCAUUCUCAUCGGAACUGAGGUCCAGCACAUUGCUUCCUCUGGGGCCUUUACUAGUGAGGGACAACUUCCACUAGUCCCUAUAGGUUCUAACACCCAUGGCGUUCACAGGUGAAGGUCUCCUGUCAUAUUACAAACAUUCCCCCCACUCCCCUCCCAAAAAAAGGAACAUUUCCUCUGUGUCAGGUACACAGGUCAGAGAGUCAUAGGGUGACUGGCUGCUCUGUGAUGGCAUAGUGGCCGUGGAAGUGGAUGGAAAUGUCGCAGGCUUAGGGGAGUGUGGGGCUGGCCUCGGCUUGGUGAGCUCCCAGGAAGGGGGACCUGGAAAUCGCUGCGGGCAUCCUUGCAUAGAGGACCAGCAGCAGUUGUCAUGAGAGGUCUGCCGCUUGCUGGCAAGGAAGAUGGUCAAUUCUUCUGACCAACAGAGGCUGCCUUGAGUCCUGAUUUGGUGUGGCCUGGCAUCUAUGGUGCACCCAAUGCUGGGGCAGUUGCCGUGGGAGGCCUGCCGUCUGCUGAAAGGAAGAUGGUUGAUGCUUCUGAGCAAUGAAGGCCCCAUGGAGUCCUGGAUUCGGUGUGGCCUUGCAUCCGUGGUGCACCCCGUGCUGGUGGAUGGCUCAGGACGGGGCAGUUGCCAUGGGAGGCGCAGGCCUGCUGGAAGGAAGAUGGUCGAUUCUCCCAAGCAACAAAGGCCACGUAGAGUCCUGGUUUCAGUGUGGCCUGGUAUCCACAGUGCACCCCGUGCUGGUGGGUGGCUCAGGACGCACACUCAUUUCCUCUGCACCUUCCUGGUGUCAUUGGCAUGGAAGGAAGGCCCUUGUCCAAGAAGGAUGGUCUUCGUCUUGUGUGAUCUUUGAGAUGCCAUGAGGCCCCUGGAUACAAAUGGUGUGGGCUCCUUUGGAGGCUUUUGGAUUUCUCCUGAAUGUGGCGUUGGUAUGGAAGGAAGGCCAGUGACCGCAAGGGAUGACUUUGAUCUUGGGAGAUUUUUGGAGAUGGCAAAGUGCUUCUAAACAUGUUUGGCAUGGUCUCCUUCAGGCUGGUGGAUACCUCAGGAUGGUGGCGUUGGCAUGGAAGGAAGGACUGUGUCUGUGAGGGAUGAUCAUCCUCUCAUGUGAUCCUUGGAGAUGCCAGGAAGCCCCUUGACACAUGUGGCAUGGGCUCCUUCAGAGGCUUUUGGAUCCGUCGUGAAUGUGGCAUGGGCAUGCAAAGAAAGACAGAGGCUGCAAGGGAUAAACUUCAUCUUGGGAGAUCCCUGGAGAUGGCAGGGAACCCAUGGACACAUGUGGCAUGGGCUCCUUUGGGUGCCGGUGGAUCCCUUCAUACGGUAGUGUUGGUGUAAAAGGCAAACCCGUGUCAUGAGGGAUGGUCAUCAUCUUGUGUGAUCCUUGGAGAUGGCAGGAAGCCCUGGACAUACAUGGUGUGGGGGCUCCUCCAGAGGCUGUUGGGAUCCUCCUGGAUGUGGUGUGGGCAUGGAAGGAAGGCCAGUGGAGACAAUGGAUGAUCUUGUUCUUAGCAGAUCACUGGAUGUGGCAGGGAGUCCUAGGACAUGUGUGGUGUGGGCUUCUUCAGGUGCUGGUGGUGUUGGCAUGAGGAAAGGAGGUAUCUUCGAGGGACAAUCUUCUUCUUGUGCGAUCCUUGGAGAUGCCAUGAGGCCCCUGGACACAUGUGGUGUGGGCUCCUUUGGAGGCUGUUGUAUCCCUUCUGAAUGUGGCGUGGGCAUAGAAGGAAGGCCAGUGGCCACGAGGGACAAUCUUGGUCUUGGGAGAUCCUGGAAAUGAUAGGGAGUCCCUUGAUAUGUGUGGCAUGGGCUCCUUCAGGUGCUAGUGGAUUCCUUAGGAUGGUGGUGUUGGCAUGAAAGGCAGGCUUGUAUCAUGAGGAAUGAUUGUCAUCUUGUCUGAUUCUUGGAGAUGGCAGGAAGCCCCUGGAAACACAUGGUGUGGACUCUUUCACAGGCUGUUGAAACCCUCCUGAAUGUGAGGCCAGAGACAGGCAGACAGCAGAUGUAUUGCAGGGAGCUGGAUGACAUGGCCCUUGGAACCUGUGCACAUGCCUGCCUUUCUGAUGCACGUCCAUGUUUUCUCUGCACCUCCCCGGUGGUGUUGGUAUAAAAAGCAGGCUUACAUCAGCAAGGGAUGAUUGUCGUCUCAUGCGAUCCUGGGAGAUGGCAGAAGUCCCGGGACACAUGGAGUGUGGGCUCUUUCGGAGGCUGUUGGAUCCCUCCUGAAUGUGUUGUGGCCAUGGAAGUAAGGCCAGUGGCUACGAGGGACAGUCUUCAUCUUGGGAGAUCCCUAGAGAGGGCAGGGAGCCCCUUGACAUGUGGAAUGUGAUCUCUGUUGGGUGCUGGUGGAUCCCACAGGUGGUCUGGCAUGGAAGAAGGCCAGAGGCUGCGAUGGAUCAUCUUUGUCUUGGGAGAUUCCUGGAGAUGGUGGGGAGCCCCUGGGCACGUGCAGCAUAUGUGGCGUGGGCUUCUUCAGGUGCUGGUGGAUCCCUCAGGAUGCUUUUCAAGGUUUUUCUAUGAGUUCUGUUAAAGAGUCUGAAAAUGGAGCGUAGAAGACAUGCUUCGAUUUCCAGGAUGGUUGUGUUUUCCAGAGAGGCGGAGGUAAACCACUGGCGCAGCCCUGCCUCCCACAGAUAAUUCCGGGUGCAGUGUUUCAUAUCUAGACUUGGACUUCUAUCCUACCAUACUUCUUUGUGUGCAGUUCAUUGUGGAACCAGCACAGAUUUUCAUACGAAAGUUAUUUCUUUUUAACCUCAAAAAGUGACAGAAUGGAGUGUAUCAUGAAAAAGUCUGACAUCAAAACCUCAAAAUGUGAUAUUGAUUGGGUGAGAUAGAAUUCCAUGGAAUUUCAUUGCCAAACCAGUGAAGUGCUAAUUUUGACAUUUGUACCAGCUAACGUAGCUGUGAAGAAACACACCAAUACACUUCUAAGGACAGCAUAGACCAAGAUCUAGGUUUCAUAUGGAUGAAUUUAUUCUUCCCUUUGAGGCAAGACAAGAAGGAAAGAAAGUAUUGGGAAUAAUGCUGCCCUCCCAUCCUCAAGGGCCAGUGGGAACUCUAAUAUUGAUUGGUUUUCACAGAAUUCCAUGGACUUUAACUGCUGAACCAAUGAUGCACUGAUUUUGUCACUUGUACCAGCUAACGCAUCUGGGAGGCAACAAAACAAUACUCUCCUGAGGUUAAUGUGGACCAAAAACUAGAUUUCAUAUAAAAGAGUUUAUUCCUUCUACUUGAGGUGUGACAUGAAGGAAAGUAAUGGAAAUAAUUCUGCCCUCCCAUUCUCAAGGGCCAGGGGGAAUUCAAAUAUUGAACGGAAGUGAUUUUGGAAUUGCAUGGAAUUCUCACUGCCAUCCCAAAGAAAUGCUGAUCUUGUCACUCUUACCUGUUUCAUUCCCUGGGGGCAGAACAAAAGGACGCACUCCAAAGAUCGGCAUGAACCAAGAACUGGGUUUCAUAUAAAAUAUUUUAUUCUGUCCUCUUGAGAUGUGACAUGAGAAAAGUAUUGAGAAUACUUCUAUCACCUCAUCUUCAAGAAUCCGUAGGAAUUCUCCCAUGGUGGACUUUACGGUUAACCUGAACAGGUCUUGGAAAAAGGACUUUAAACAUUCUCCUGUUCUGUGGAAUAAGUAUACUUUUUUCUGGACAUACACCUUGUCAGUUCCAUGUGAUACUAGAGUUGCAUAGAUUUUUAACCUUUACGCCAAUGAAGAUCUGAGGCAAACAUUGCCCCUUUUUUAGAAGUUUGCAUUUGUCACUGAUAACUGUAAUAAUUGAUCUUGUUGAAAAGCCUGGGAAAUGAAGAUCUGAUAUGUCACUUUUACCGGCUUCCUCAACUGAAAAAGAAUACAAUGAAACACGCUGAGAAUUUUUGUGCUUUCUCAGUCUUGCUGAUGAUCUUUCUAUGGGCCUGAAGCGUGGAGAGUGCCAGAGAGGCUGAUCCUCAGCAGUGUGGCAGAGGAAAGUUGGGUGCGACUAAGGGGUAUGCGGUGCCCACAUGCCACUGGGUCCUCAGCAGUACCACCUGAUUGGAAGUGAUAUUGGUGGAAGACAACAUUUUGCCGCUUGGAAUUCUCACCUCCACACCAAAGAAGUACUGUUUUUGUCAUUUGCACCAGCUUCUUUCUCCAGGAAAGAUCAAAACGAUGCACUGCAAGUGUGAUUGGUCCAGAUAGCUGCCUUAUCCAACUGCCUCCUUUGGACCACUUCAUCAUGGGACAGCUUGAUGCAAUCUACUUGACAAGACCCUGGAACCCCACACCCCUCAUGGAACCAGUGUCCACCUCCCAGUCACAGUGUGACCCCAGGGAACUCUUGCCUGCUUGCUUUAAACCCACCACUUAAAAGUCUCCACAGAAAACCUGUUUGAAUAGUACCCUUGACCCAAUAAGGGCAUUGGCCCCUGGGUGUCUCUCUCUCUCUCUCUCUCUCUCUCUCCCUCUCUCUCCCUCUCUCUCUCUCGCUCCCUGACCUCUGCGUGUGGACUCCAGGCAUGCCAUAUACCCCUCAGGACCUGAAGCAAAAGAAUGAAUUAAAGAAAACUCCAGAGAAUGAGCUGACAACCUACUCCCUGGUCAGUGGCUCUCCAUGCCUACCUGUGGUCUCUUGGACACCCUUGCAGAAGAUGACUUCCUGGGAACUCUUCUGGGAGUGAAUGUUAUCAGCAAAUUCCCAAAACAACACCCCUUAGACAAAAAGCCUCCUCACCUAUGCAUUGCCUAGACCACCCACUAAAGGUGAUGGCCACAAAGAGGUGGAUUUGUUGAGUUGGUGCCAUUCCUUCUACUGCCAGCUUCACCAAAACAAUGACACAGUCUUCCUUCCGCAUGGAGACUCUUCUCUUUCCUGUGUUGCAGUGGAUGCCUCCUGCAGAUAAGAAAUGCUUAACUGAGAAAUGCUCAUGUUGGGAUAUCAUCGAUGAGACUUUAAUUUGGGCAUGGUGACUGUUUCCCUUGCUGCCACUUGACUCAAUCCCAGGAGCCUCAGUAGAGGAUAUAAUAUUACACAAGAUGCUCAAAAUGGUGGAAUUGCUCAGUGCUCCCAUAAAUAUACAUUUAUAAUUUUCAUUUGCCACAUGGUAAACUGAAAAAUACAGACUAUAUUAAAAAGAAACUGCAUGAUUUUUUUUCAAAAAUUCAAAGCAUAUUUAAAUAAUAUAUAAAUUAAAUGCCCUCCUCUCUUCCAAUUCUGUCCCUAUAGUUUUCCUCUAUUAAGUGAACUACAUGCAUUCUUUUAGUGGAUAGAUGCACACAAACACACAAGCCAUUAUGGGGAAGGAUCCACGUGUGUGGCCAUAUUGUAACACAUUUUUCUGCAAAUCACCUCUUUCAUUUAACAGCCCUUAUUCAAUGGCCUUUUUCUUUUUCAGUAGUACAUACACAUCUGUGUCAUUUGUUGAAUGACGACAUGAAUGUUUUGUAGAUAAAAUAUAAUUAAAUGUUUUAAGCAUUUCUCACUCAUAGAUAUUUAUGUUAGCACCAAAUUUCUGUGCAAUGAACCUCCCUAUAUAUCAGUAAUUUUGCAUUUGUCUAUAAUAUCAUAAUAAAUUACUUAUCAGUUGAAUUACUGGGAUUAAGUAUGUGCACACUUUAUAUUUAUAUUUUGAAAAUUAUUGCAAGAUUGCCUUCAAAAAUGUGGUUAACAACUUUAUCUUCAAAUGGCAAUGAAUGAGAUUGCCAGCUUUCCUACAGCCUCACAGACAAUGGAUUUUAUAAAUAUUUAACAUUUUUGCCAAUGUGAUCACCCAAACUAUUGUCUUAAAUUGUAUCUCUUUUGUUUUUGAGUUUGGUCAUUUUUUCAUGUUUAUUAGCCAUCUGUAUUUUUUAAUUUCUUCUUUAUGUCCAAUUUUGUGGGUGGGAGGAGGAUUUAGUCUCUUCCUGAUUUCGAAGAGCUCAUUUACUAUUUCGGGAAAUAAGAUUUGGAUUGUCAACCAUUAUAGCUAUUUUUUACACACUUUUCAACUUUGUUUUUGUUAUAAGAAUGUGUAUGAUUGUUACAUGUCCAAGUAUAACCAUGUUCGCUUUUAUGGCUUCUGAGUUUCAUGUCAUUUUUGGAAAGAUAUAUAUAUUGAGUCCAUAAAACCCUUCACCUAUGUUAAAUUCUAAUUCUUUUGUGUUUUUUUAAUUCAAAUUCUUAAAUCAUGAGAAAUUUUUUUGUUUUGAAAUCUUAAAGUUGCCAAGUUACUUGCCAUUACUUGCGAUUAUUUGCCAAUAAUUGCCCAUUUAUCUGUACCGCCAUCUUGCGCAUAUGCUGUACUCUCAUCUGUGACUGGCUCCAUUUUUGUUCUGUGGAUUUGUGUGUCUCUUCUUCUGCCUCCUGUCUCGUGUCUGCUCGUUGGAAGAAAUUACAGUUUAGACUGCAAUUUCAUCAACUUUAAUAAAUCAAUUGAGGGGAGAAUUGGUUUUUAAAAAUAUUAAGUAAGUCUUCGUAUCCAAGGACAAGGUAUGUCUUUUCUUAUUCAAUAAUUUUAAUUACUGUUAAUAUUUUCACUGUGGUGAUGGGAGUUUUUCUUUUAAUUUAUUUUCUUGUUCAUUUUUUGUAUCUAAAGUUUUUGUUUUGUUUUGUUUUGGGGGUAAGUUGUCACCUUACUGUUUCUUGUUGCUUUUCAGAUUUUUUCAAAGUAUAGACUAAAUCCUUCACAAAUAUUUAAAGUUUUUAUUUUCCCCCUUCAUAUUGAUCCUGAUUUUAGUUAUGUUGACAAAGUCCACAGACUGUUACUAUCAGAACACUUGAACAGUUAUGGAAAUAUUACCUACCCUUGAUUUAAUCAGAGUUUAAUGGUAUGCUUCUUUGGUUUGACUGGCACAUUGUCGCUGGUCAUUUCCUCCCAAAGACCACCAGAAAGAGCUAUGAUCAAGCAAAGCUGAGUUUGUUAAACUUACCUGCAGCAAGGGAAAACACCACCUUGAUAGGGUUUAAUAAUGUUUCAAAAUCAAGAAAUGAGGCUUUGGGGUCUGGGCAGGGAACUAAUUAGAAAUGGGCAAAAUUUGUCAUGCAAUACCUUGUGGGAAAGUGAGAUGAGGUUCUUAAUGUGAGUAUUGAUGGUGAAAUCAUUUUCUAGGUGAGCUGUUUGCCUAUAUAAAGAUGUUAUCAAUGACAGAAGAACUAUUUGCCUAGAUAAACAAACUGAAUUUAUUUAUUGGUUUACAGUUUUAUCUUGCUGGGCAGGACUCUGCUGGGGGUGGUAUCAGGUCUUAUUCCCAAUAGGUAAGUUAUUUGGAUAUGGGUGGUCUUAAUCAUCAAUGUGUAAAAUGCUGAUUUUAAGUGCGAAAUACUUUGUCUACCAUGUUAGGAAAGUCUGCCACCUUUUAUCUUUUUUAAGGAAUUUUAAUCAAAACCAGGUGGUAGAUAUAAUCAAAUUGUUUUGCAGAAUCAAUUUUCCUGUUCUCUUUAAAGACUUUUAUCACUGUGAAUUAAUUUACUAUUAUUGCAACUUCCUUUAAUUCCUUGAAUGAACAGACCCUACUGGUUUUAAAAAUGUUUUAUUCUUUUAAUUUACUACUUAAUUGUGGGUAUUUUAAUUUGAUUUGGAAUUUUUACAAGUAUACAACUAAGUGAAAUUGAUCUGUGAUUUUUCUUUUUUGUGCUAUUUUUGUCAUGUUUUGAUAUCAGAUAUUCUGGUUGUGUUAAAAUAAUUUUGAGGAUUUUCUUCUUAUACUGUGUUCUAGAGUGGGUAAAAAAGCCCUAGUCUCACUAUCAGUGUUUAAGUGAACACAUCAGUGACAUCAUCUGGACUCUCCUUUGUUUUUGCUGGUUUGGAGUUAGGACAUCUAGAAGUUUUUUUCUUUUUUUCCUUUUUUUGUAUGGUUAUUGCUUGUUCUUUGUUUUGUGUCAAAUUUAACCUGUUUUCUCUUAGCAAAUCACAGCUCAUGCAGAUUUUCAAACACAUUAGCCUUGUUAUACAAAGUGUUCUUUCAUCAUUCUAUUAAAUUUCCAUUUUCAUUCCAGUUAUAGUUAUUUCUGCUGUGCCUUUGUUAAUGAAUAAGUUUAAACAGUGGAUGUUUAGCAUCACUAGCCUUCCCCUUCCAUCUCCCUUAAUCAGGACCUUGGUAUAAUUUAUCAGGUAUUUUUUAAGGUUCUAAUUUACUUAUAUAUAUUGUUUCUGUAUUCUUUUGUUUCUUUUCUUAAUAAAUUCUUAAA